rnacentral:rRNA from 1 species
AUUGAACGCUAGCGGGAUGCUUUACACAUGCAAGUCGAACGAGUGGCGGACGGGUGAGUAAUAUAUCGGCACGUGCCCAGUAUCGGGGGAUAACUCCUCGAACGCUUGGCUAAUACCGCAUACUAUUUGAGCGGCCGAGAUCGGAGUAGCUCGUUGGUGGGGUAAAGGCUCACCAAGGCAACGAUCCGUAGCUGGGUUGAGAGGACGACCAGCCACACGGGGACUGAGCAACGGCCCAUACUCCCACUGGAGGCAGCAGUGGGGAAGUGUGGGCAAUGGGCGAAACCCUGAUCCAGCCAUCCCGCGUGUAUGAGAAGGCCUUCGGGUUGUAAAGUACUUUUGGCAGAGAAGCGGUAUCUGCAGAAUAAGCACCGGCUAACUACGUGCCAGCAGCCGCGGUAAUAC